CAAACGUUGAUGUCACUUGAGUGAAUCUUCUUAGAGAGGAAGCAUGUCUGGAUUUGUUAUUGAAUGAAUUAAGGGAAGGAAAAUUCCUACUCAUAUACACGGUUUCCCAAGCUCAAGCAUUCACAAUUAUUAUGGAGCAACAUUUGGAGGAUCUCGACAUCUUGAGAGGCGACAAAAUUGUGCGCUCCUCUCAAAACAUGGAGGUGGAGAUCAGACACACCUUGUUCACC
rnacentral:lncRNA from 1 species